CUUUGAACUACAGCAGGGUGUUUGGAGAGCCCUGAAGCACUACAGAACUGGGACCAGAACCGUCACUGACUGCACAAAGUCGGUUGGAGUUUGCAUGAAUUCACCUGGGAACCCAGGAGCUGCGGGAGGAAGAUUGCCGGUCUGCUGUCAAAAGGAAAAAAGGAGUUUUCAUUGAAUGAUGAUCUUGAAGCGCGCCUAG